rnacentral:rRNA from 1 species
AUCCUUCGAAUCACAUGUCUUGCAGUUGAAAGGCGCUUCGGCGUCACUGUAGGAUGGGCCCGCGGUGCAUUAGCUAGUUGGUGGGGUAACGGCCUACCAAGGCAACGAUGCAUAGCCGACCUGAGAGGGUGAUCGGCCACAUUGGGACUGAGACACGGCCCAAACUCCUACGGGAGGCAGCAGUAGGGAAUCUUCCACAAUGGACGAAAGUCUGAUGGAGCAACGCCGCGUGAGUGAUGAAGGUUUUCGGAUCGUAAAACUCUGUUGUAAGGGAAGAACAAGUACGUUAGGAAAUGAACGUACCUUGACGGUACCUUAUUAGAAAGCCACGGCUAACUACGUGCCAGCAGCCGCGGUAAUACGUAGGUGGCAAGCGUUGUCCGGAUUUAUUGGGCGUAAAGCGCGCGCAGGUGGUUUCUUAAGUCUGAUGUGAAAGCCCACGGCUCAACCGUGGAGGGUCAUUGGAAACUGGGGAACUUGAGUGCAGAAGAGGAUAGUGGAAUUCCAAGUGUAGCGGUGAAAUGCGUAGAGAUUUGGAGGAACACCAGUGGCGAAGGCGACUGUCUGGUCUGUAACUGACACUGAGGCGCGAAAGCGUGGGGAGCAAACAGGAUUAGAUACCCUGGUAGUCCACGCCGUAAACGAUGAGUGCUAAGUGUUAGGGGGUUUCCGCCCCUUAGUGCUGCAGCUAACGCAUUAAGCACUCCGCCUGGGGAGUACGACCGCAAGGUUGAAACUCAAAGGAAUUGACGGGGGCCCGCACAAGCGGUGGAGCAUGUGGUUUAAUUCGAAGCAACGCGAAGAACCUUACCAGGUCUUGACAUCCCAAUGACCGUCCUAGAGAUAGGAUUUUCCCUUCGGGGACAUUGGUGACAGGUGGUGCAUGGUUGUCGUCAGCUCGUGUCGUGAGAUGUUGGGUUAAGUCCCGCAACGAGCGCAACCCUUAUUCUUAGUUGCCAUCAUUUAGUUGGGCACUCUAAGGAUACUGCCGGUGACAAACCGGAGGAAAGCGGACAUGACAUA